rnacentral:rRNA from 1 species
AAAUUGAAGAGUUUGAUCAUGGCUCAGAUUGAACGCUGGCGGCAGGCCUAACACAUGCAAGUCGAACGGUAACAGGAAGCAGCUUGCUGCUUCGCUGACGAGUGGCGGACGGGUGAGUAAUGUCUGGGAAACUGCCUGAUGGAGGGGGAUAACUACUGGAAACGGUAGCUAAUACCGCAUAAUGUCGCAAGACCAAAGAGGGGGACCUUCGGGCCUCUUGCCAUCGGAUGUGCCCAGAUGGGAUUAGCUUGUUGGUGGGGUAACGGCUCACCAAGGCGACGAUCCCUAGCUGGUCUGAGAGGAUGACCAGCCACACUGGAACUGAGACACGGUCCAGACUCCUACGGGAGGCAGCAGUGGGGAAUAUUGCACAAUGGGCGCAAGCCUGAUGCAGCCAUGCCGCGUGUAUGAAGAAGGCCUUCGGGUUGUAAAGUACUUUCAGCGGGGAGGAAGGGAGUAAAGUUAAUACCUUUGCUCAUUGACGUUACCCGCAGAAGAAGCACCGGCUAACUCCGUGCCAGCAGCCGCGGUAAUACGGAGGGUGCAAGCGUUAAUCGGAAUUACUGGGCGUAAAGCGCACGCAGGCGGUUUGUUAAGUCAGAUGUGAAAUCCCCGGGCUCAACCUGGGAACUGC